GACGAACGCUGGCGGCGUGCUUAACACAUGCAAGUCGAACGGUGAAGCGCCUUCCUUUUUGGUGGGUGUGGAUGAGUGGCGAACGGGUGAGUAACACGUGAGUAACCUGCCCCCUUCUUCUGGAUAACCGCAUGAAAGUGUGGCUAAUACGGGAUAUUCUGGGUCUGUCGCAUGAUGGGUCUGGGAAAGAUAUUGUUUCGGUGGGGGAUGGGCUCGCGGCCUAUCAGCUUGUUGGUGGGGUGAUGGCCUACCAAGGCGGUGACGGGUAGCCGGCCUGAGAGGGUGGACGGUCACACUGGGAAUGAGACACGGCCCAGACUCCUACGGGAGGCAGCAGUGGGGAAUAUUGCACAAUGGGCGCAAGGCUGAUGCAGCGACGCCGCGUGAGGGAUGGAGGCCUUCGGGUUGUGAACCUCUUUCGCCAGUGAAGCAGGCCUGCCUCGUUUGUGGGUGGGUUGACGGUAGCUGGAUAAGAAGCGCCGGCUAACUACGUG
rnacentral:rRNA from 1 species